rnacentral:lncRNA from 1 species
CCAGGAACAGUGAAGCUUUAUAGGGUCGCAUGUAGUCCGCAUCUUCACAGACAUAUCUAUUUCACCACAGCAUUUAAUUCAAUCUAUUUUUUGUGUUUUUCUUCAUCAACUAAUAAAAAAUCGCGUACACGUAACAUGGUUCGAAUUUUUAUGCGCCCCAUCUAUAAAAUAAAGCCAUCUCAACGUUUAUUCUCCCACCUAACCUAAUCUACUCUUGCACAAAUAUAUCUCCAUCGCGCACACAGAUUCUAAAUCCAUCAUGUUCCAAGUAUUUGUUGAAUAAUCACAAAUAGUACUUCCAUAGAAUCAAUCUGUUGGUUGUGCCAGUAACUCUGUUGAUCGAAAGUAAACAAUCAAGAAUCUAGCCGUCUUGAUAAGCAAGUACCAUCAUAUUUUGCUUAAUAUCUUUAAUUCUCAGAGAUCAAAAGAAACAUGGCAUUUGAGCAAUAUUUUAUGCAGGAAUGGAAAUCCAUUCCCGACUCUGAAAGGAAUUCUCCUAACUUUGAUUGCAGCAUCUGUUUGGAAUUUGUGUCUGAUCCUGUCGUUACCCUUUGUGGCCAUCUCUACUGUUGGCCCUGCAUCUACAACUGGUUUCAGAUUGCUUCCCUUGAUUCAGACAAGAACCUACCCAGAUGCCCAGUUUGCAAAACCGAAAUAUCGGAAAAAACGAUGGUCCCUCUCUAUGGCCGGGGCAAUUGCCUCUCGGAAACCGAACACAAGGUCAAGAAUAUACCGCCCAGGCCAACAGCUCGUGCCAUACAAGAUCCCGAUCAUCAAAAUCGACGUAAUUUAUCUGAUCCUUAUUCCAGUAACGUAGAAGGAGAUAGUUCGUCGUCUCCAAUUGAUCUUUCACAUCCCAGGAUAGGGAUGUUUGGAGAGAUGGUUUAUGCCAGAGUUUUUGGCAAUUCAGAGAGUUUAUACUGGUAUCCUAACUCGUACCACCUGGUGGGAAGUAGUUCUCCUGGAUUAAGAAGGCAGCAAUUACAGGCUAACAAAUCUCUCGGUAGAGUUUCGAUUUUUCUCUUGUGUUGGUUCCUUUUGUGCCUUGUUCUAUUUUAAUUUUAUAUUAGGAGUUAUUGCCACACUUUCUUGAUCCCAUGUAUAUAACUAGCUAUAUAUUGAUGCAAUAGUGUAUAUAUGAUCUAUAUCUAUCUAUCUGCAGUAAUUUCUUAUCCAUUGUUCUUCAUUUUUAUGCUCUGAUCUAGAUCCAAUGUUAAACAAAUUCAUCGGUGGCACAAAAUUUACCACAUUCUCUGUAAGAAACGAAAGGGGAAAGUAUUUACUGUUACCAUUCAGUCAGUUGGAUCAGAUGGUCAACCGCUAAGAGUAUCGUAUCUGUCACGACUUGAAGCGUACUAUUCAUACAGAAAUUAUUCUUAUUGUACAAUCGGGGUUGACGAUUCCUGCUGAAAAUGUACUCACAAGAGGGGGAUCCACGAUUUUUUUUAUUCAACGCGAGCCUCUCUUUUAUUGUCAACCUCGUUUGUACACAUUGUACAACUGAUUCAUACAGAGGCUCCGUGAGAAUAACGUCUGUUAGGAACCAGCAGGAGAUUCAAAAUUUCUUUAUCACUUAUUUACUCGUAUUCUGUCCCAAACUGACAAGUCCUUUUUUCUUGUGGAAUGUGUUGUAAUGUCCCAUCCUUUUUAAAACAAAACAAUUUGUCAAAUACAGCUCCCUAAGGAAUAGUCACUACGUUACACAAAUUGCCUUGCCCACCUGAGUCUCGAGUAGGUCAACGGCAUCACGCUGAGUGACGUGGUCGGGCCUGUUUAAAUCAGUGGCAGCUUUGGCGAUUUGGGAAGGCAGCAUUUUUAUGUGAAAAUAAAUUUUGAUUUAAAUCAUCGUAAGUAUACGGUUCGUUAAUAAAUAAUAAAGUGAAUUGUGAGUCCAAAUAUGAUCCCACGGAAAUUUAUUUAGUUUAAUUUUUAUUACUGCGAUCUUAACCGAAACAAGAGUAAUAAGAAUUAACUAAACUAAAUGCAAAUUAUGUUGAAUGCAAAUUUAUGUAUUUGAUAAAUGGCAUAGGUACCAGGAUCACAAAUUCCCAUGUAAUAACCCUUUUUAGUCUUAGUUUUACACUUUGACAACAUAUUGUAUAUUGAAGAAUCAAU